rnacentral:rRNA from 1 species
UACGUAGGGUGCAAGCGUUAAUCGGAAUUACUGGGCGUAAAGGGUAUGCAGGCGGUUUUGUAAGCUUGAUGUGAAAUCCCCGGGCUUAACCUGGGAACUGCAUUGAGAACUACAAGACUAGAGUGUGUCAGAGGGGGGUGGAAUUCCGCGUGUAGCAGUGAAAUGCGUAGAGAUGCGGAGGAACACCGAUGGCGAAGGCAGCCCCCUGGGAUAACACUGACGCUCAGAUACGAAAGCGUGGGUAGCAAACAGGAUUAGAUACCCUGGUAGUCCACGCCCUAAACGAUGUCAACUGGCUGUUGGGGUUUGAAAUCCUUGGUAGCGUAGCUAACGCGAGAAGUUGACCGCCUGGGGAGUACGGUCGCAAGAUUA